GCUUACGGCCACACCACCUGAACGCCCGAUCUCGGAAGCUAAGCAUGGCUGGGCCUGGUUAGUACUUGGAUGGGAGACCGCCUGGGAAUACCAGGUGCUGUAAGUU
rnacentral:rRNA from 1 species